AAGACCUCCAUUUUUCUUAUCAUCUGCAGCACCUCUCUAGGUGGAGAUUUCAUCACAGUGCCUCCGGCAAUGGACUGCAUACAAUUUUCUGUAUAGAUGAUGGGACUCGAUCUUAAAAUGUAUUCCAAGUAUUGGGCAAUCAACAGAGCAGUAUAGAGAAGAUCUAAUGGUCAAGUUUUUAAGCACAUGGCACAUUUCUACUUUUUAUAAAAAGAAUAUUAUUGUACAGUUUCUCUUGCCUGAAAAACGCACUUGGACAAAGCCCAGCACUGGUCUCAGUUGAAGGAUAGAAGAUGAAGCUGAGAAGCUAUGGAGAGGUGAACAGAGGAAGAGAAGGGUAACAGAAAGAAGGAAGACCUCUGGGCAUGGACAAAUGGAUGGUGGCCUGGUGUGGCUUCUCUGCUCUUGGCUGUGUUCCCCCGCACCAAUUAAUCACCAUACCCCAAUGUGACAGGCCCAGCUCUUUGCGGCAGCUCAUCCUCCGGCUGUUCCAGUGAUUACUCUAAAGCCUUCCCCAGAUGCAAGAAUUUCUCAAUGUUUUUUUCUUCACUAUUGCUCCAUGUGCUGGCUACUGCACCGAAAGGGGCUGUGGUUCUCCCCCACAUUGCUGACUGGUCAGUAAG
rnacentral:lncRNA from 1 species